UACGAAGGGGGCUAGUGUUGUUCGGAAUCACUGGGCGUAAAGCGCAUGCAGGCGGAUUGUUAAGUCGGGGGUGAAAUCCCGAGGCUCAACCUCGGAACUGCCUUCGAUACUGGCAAUCUUGAGUCCGGGAGAGGUGAGUGGAACUGCGAGUGUAGAGGUGAAAUUCGUAGAUAUUCGCAAGAACACCAGUGGCGAAGGCGGCUCACUGGCCCGGUACUGACGCUGAGGUGCGAAAGCGUGGGGAGCAAACAGG
rnacentral:rRNA from 1 species